rnacentral:rRNA from 1 species
UACGUAGGGGGCGAGCGUUGUCCGGAUUUACUGGGCGUAAAGAGCGCGUAGGCGGCCACCUAAGUUGGCUGUGAAAUCUCCUGGCUUAACUGGGAGGGGUCGGUCGAGACUGGGUGGCUUGAGGGCGGUAGAGGAAGGUGGAAUUCCGGGUGUAGUGGUGAAAUGCGUAGAGAUCCGGAGGAACACCAGUGGCGAAGGCGGCCUUCUGGGCCGUACCUGACGCUGAGGCGCGAAAGCGUGGGGAG